ACUAUACCAUCAUAACCUAAAGAAAAGUGAGAAAAGAAGGUCAUCAGAAUGGCUUCCGGAAGGGUUUGUUUGUUCAUAGGUCUUCUCUGCUUCAUUUCUCUGUACUUCGCAGAAACUUCAGUUGCGAGGGAGGUCCCGGAGCCACCAAUUGAGCAUAAGAACAUUGGGCCGUGUUCACAGUUCGUGGACGGCUGCUACAAGACUUGCGUGGGAAGGGGGUAUUAUCUUGGAGGGAAUUGCGUGACUGGCGAUUCGGGGUCGUUCUGCAUUUGUAGUGGUUAGUAGAUGAAAUCGCGUAAGUCUAAGCCAAGUAAAACUAUUUGUUCUCGUGGUUCAAAUAGUUAUGAAUAAAUUCCCAUCCUCCAUUCAACUUUCUUCAAUUAAUAAUGUCUGUUUGGUGCAA